GAACGCUAGCGGGAUGCUUUACACAUGCAAGUCGAACGGCAGCACGAGAGAGCUUGCUCUCUUGGUGGCGAGUGGCGGACGGGUGAGUAAUAUAUCGGAACGUGCCUAGUAGCGGGGGAUAACUACUCGAAAGAGUGGCUAAUACCGCAUACGCCCUACGGGGGAAAGGGGGGGAUCGCAAGACCUCUCACUAUUAGAGCGGCCGAUAUCGGAUUAGCUAGUUGGUGGGGUAAAGGCUCACCAAGGCAACGAUCCGUAGCUGGUUUGAGAGGACGACCAGCCACACUGGGACUGAGACACGGCCCAGACUCCUACGAGAGGCAGCAGUGGGGAAUUUUGGACAAUGGGGGAAACCCUGAUCCAGCCAUCCCGCGUGUAUGAUGAAGGCCUUCGGGUUGUAAAGUACUUUUGGCAGAGAAGAAAAGGUACCUCCUAAUACGAGGUACUGCUGACGGUAUCUGCAGAAUAAGCACCGGCUAACUACGUGCCAGCAGCCGCGGUAAUACGUAGGGUGCAAGCGUUAAUCGGAGUUACUGGGCGUAAAGCGUGUGUAGGCGGUUCGGAAAGAAAGAUGUGAAAUCCCAGGGCUUAACCUUGGAACUGCAUUUUUAACUGCCGAGCUAGAGUAUGUCAGAGGGGGGUAGAAUUCCACGUGUAGCAGUGAAAUGCGUAGAUAUGUGGAGGAAUACCGAUGGCGAAGGCAGCCCCCUGGGAUAAUACUGACGCUCAGACACGAAAGCGUGGGGGAGCAAACAGGAUUAGAUACCCUGGUAGUCCACGCCCUAAACGAUGUCAACUAGCUGUUGGGGCCGUUAGGCCUUAGUAGCGCAGCUAACGCGUGAAGUUGACCGCCUGGGGAGUACGGUCGCAAGAUUAAAACUCAAAGGAAUUGACGGGGACCCGCACAAGCGGUGGAUGAUGUGGAUUAAUUCGAUGCAACGCGAAAAACCUUACCUACCCUUGACAUGUCUGGAAUCCCGAAGAGAUUUGGGAGUGCUCGCAAGAGAACCGGAACACAGGUGCUGCAUGGCUGUCGUCAGCUCGUGUCGUGAGAUGUUGGGUUAAGUCCCGCAACGAGCGCAACCCUUGCCAUUAGUUGCUACGCAAGAGCACUCUAAUGAGACUGCCGGUGACAAACCGGAGGAAGGUGGGGAUGACGUCAAGUCCUCAUGGCCCUUAUGGGUAGGGCUUCACACGUCAUACAAUGGUCGGGACAGAGGGUCGCCAACCCGCGAGGGGGAGCCAAUCUCAGAAACCCGAUCGUAGUCCGGAUCGCAGUCUGCAACUCGACUGCGUGAAGUCGGAAUCGCUAGUAAUCGCGGAUCAGAAUGUCGCGGUGAAUACGUUCCCGGGUCUUGUACACACCGCCCGUCACACCAUGGGAGUGGGUUUCACCAGAAGUAGGUAGCCUAACCGUAAGGAGGGCGCUUACCACGGUGGGAUUCAUGACUGGGGUGAAGUCGUAACAAGGUAGCCGU
rnacentral:rRNA from 1 species